rnacentral:rRNA from 1 species
AGGGUGUAAACGCUGCGGGCUUGGUGUUGGGGGUCCUUAGUGGGCGCCCAGUGCCGGAGAGAAGUUGUUAAGCCUGCUGCUUGGGGAGUAUGUCCGCAAGGAUGAAACUUAGAGGAAUUGGCGGGGGAGCACCGCAACGGGAGGAGCGUGCGGUUCAAUUGGAUUCAACGCCGAAAAACUCACCAGGAGCGACGGAUAUAUGAAGGUCAAGCUGAUGACUUUACCUGAUUUUCCGAGAGGUGGUGCAUGGCGUAGUCGUGU